rnacentral:rRNA from 1 species
GCUAAUACCGCAUAACGUCGCAAGACCAAAGAGGGGGGACCUUCGGGCCUCUUGCCAUCGGAUGUGCCCAGAUGGGAUUAGCUAGUAGGUGGGGUAACGGCUCACCUAGGCGACGAUCCCUAGCUGGUCUGAGAGGAUGACCAGCCACACUGGAACUGAGACACGGUCCAGACUCCUACGGGAGGCAGCAUG